UGGGGAAUUUUGGACAAUGGGCGAAAGCCUGAUCCAGCAAUGCCGCGUGUGUGAAGAAGGCCUUCGGGUUGUAAAGCACUUUUGUCCGGAAAGAAAUCCUUGGCUCUAAUACAGUCGGGGGAUGACGGUACCGGAAGAAUAAGCACCGGCUAACUACGUGCCAGCAGCCGCGGUAAUACGUAGGGUGCAAGCGUUAAUCGGAAUUACUGGGCGUAAAGCGUGCGCAGGCGGUUUGCUAAGACCGAUGUGAAAUCCCCGGGCGUCAACCUGGGAACUGGCAUUGGUGACUGGCAGGCUAGAGUAUGGCAGAGGGGGGUUAGAAUUCCACGUGUAGCAGUGAAAUGCGUAGAGAUGUGGAGGAAUACCGAUGGCGAAGGCAGCCCCCUGGGGCCAAUACUGACGCUCAUGCACG
rnacentral:rRNA from 1 species